GAUGAACGCUAGCGGGAGGCCUAACACAUGCAAGCCGAGCGGUAUUUCUUCUUCGGAAGAGAGAGAGCGGCGUACGGGUGCGGAACACGUGUGCAACCUGCCUUUAUCUAGAGGAUAGCCUUUCGAAAGGAAGAUUAAUACUCCAUAAUAUAUUAAUUGGCAUCAAUUGAUAUUGAAAACUCCGGUGGAUAGAGAUGGGCACGCGCAAGAUUAGCUAGUUGGUGAGGUAACGGCUCACCAAGGCAAUGAUCUUUAGGGGGCCUGAGAGGGUGAUCCCCCACACUGGUACUGAGACACGGACCAGACUCCUACGGGAGGCAGCAGUGAGGAAUAUUGGUCAAUGGGUGCAAGCCUGAACCAGCCAUCCCGCGUGAAGGAUUAAGGUCCUAUGGAUUGUAAACUUCUUUUGAAUAGGGAUAAACCUACCCUCGUGAGGGUAGCUGAAGGUACUAUACGAAUAAGCACCGGCUAACUCCGUGCCAGCCGCCGCCGUAAGAC
rnacentral:rRNA from 1 species